AAUAUGCCUCAGCCCCAGGCAGCUGACUUCUUGUUCACCCAGAUGGAAAUUAAACCUCAAUGUGCAUAUUGCAAGCACCUGCCACAGCCUCUUAAAAAUGCAAGACCUUAACCAGGCAACAGGGAUAUAGUUUCAGAGAGGAAGAAGAACUACAUUGGUGCCCUUCAUCGGAAGGGAUAAAAAGAGAGGAAGAAGGAUUCCAUAUGCAAAGAUAAGACAGAUUUCUGCAACAUCAAGUCACUAAUUCUAGCAUGAUCCUGUGGACGGAAGUGUCAGAAAUGACUCACCAAAUCAUCUACUGACUUUUCCUCAGUCACACAGGAAUAGAUACUAAGCCACCACUGAAUCUGAGUUUCUGUCUUCUCUAAGAUUUCUCAACUACAGAAGAAAAUAUAGAAAGGCAGAGAGACCCAAGCCUAAUGAGGUCCAAUAAAGAUGCACUCAUAUGAACUUCACUAUCCAUGUGACGACCUCAUUACCUUGAGCAG